rnacentral:rRNA from 1 species
GAUGAACGCUGGCGGCGUGCCUAAUACAUGCAAGUCGAGCGAACAGACGAGGAGCUUGCUCCUCUGACGUUAGCGGCGGACGGGUGAGUAACACGUGGAUAACCUACCUAUAAGACUGGGAUAACUUCGGGAAACCGGAGCUAAUACCGGAUAAUAUAUUGAACCGCAUGGUUCAAUAGUGAAAGACGGUUUUGCUGUCACUUAUAGAUGGAUCCGCGCCGCAUUAGCUAGUUGGUAAGGUAACGGCUUACCAAGGCAACGAUGCGUAGCCGACCUGAGAGGGUGAUCGGCCACACUGGAACUGAGACAAGGUCCAGACUCCUACGGGAGGCAGCAGUAGGGAAUCUUCCGCAAUGGGCGGAAGCUUGACGGAGCAACGCCGCGUGAGUGAUGAAGGUCUUCGGAUCGUAAAACUCUGUUAUUAGGGAAGAACAAAUGUGUAAGUAACUAUGCACGUCUUGACGGUAACUAAUCAGAAAGCCACGGCUAACUACGUG